CCCUUAGAUGUUCUGGGCCGCACGCGUGCUACACUGACCGGCGCAACAAGUUCCUUUCCUUGGCUCGAUAGGCCUGGGUAAUCUUUGAACGCCGGUCGUGAUGGGGAUAGAUCCUUGCAAUUUUUGAUCUUCAACGAGGAAUUCCUAGUAAAUGCGAGUCAUCAUCUCGCGUUGAUUACGUCCCUGCCCUUUGUACACACCGCCCGUCGCACCUACCGAUUGAAUGGUCCGGUGAAGCCUCGGGAUUGCGAAUGCUUCGUGCGGACGCGAGAACUUGGCUAAACCUUACCAUUUAGAGGAAGGUGAAGUCGUAACA
rnacentral:rRNA from 1 species